rnacentral:rRNA from 1 species
GACGAACGCUGGCGGCGUGCUUAACACAUGCAAGUCGAACGGUGAAGGGACCGGUUUUUGCUGGUUCUGGAUGAGUGGCGAACGGGUGAGUAACACGUGAGUAACCUGCCCCCUCCUUCUGGAUAACCGCAUGAAAGUGUGGCUAAUACGGGAUAUUCUGCGCCUGCUGCAUGGUGGGUGUGGGAAAGAUAUUGUUUCGGUGGGGGAUGGGCUCGCGGCCUAUCAGCUUGUUGGUGGGGUGAUGGCCUACCAAGGCGGUGACGGGUAGCCGGCCUGAGAGGGUGGACGGUCACACUGGGACUGAGACACGGCCCAGACUCCUACGGGAGGCAGCAGUGGGGAAUAUUGCACAAUGGGCGCAAGCCUGAUGCAGCGACGCCGCGUGAGUGAUGGAGGCCUUCGGGUUGUAAACCUCUUUCGCCAGUGAAGCAGGCCUGUCCCUUUUGUGGGUGGGUUGACGGUAGCUGGAUAAGAAGCGCCGGCUAACUACGUG